rnacentral:rRNA from 1 species
AUGCACGCUGGCGGCGUGCCUAAUACAUGCAAGUCGAGCGAACAGACGAGGAGCUUGCUCCUCUGACGUUAGCGGCGGACGGGUGAGUAACACGUGGAUAACCUACCUAUAAGAUUGGGAUAACUUCGGGAAACCGGAGCUAAUACCGGAUAAUAUAUUGAACCGCAUGGUUCAAUAGUGAAAGACGGUUUUGCUGUCACUUAUAGAUGGAUCCGCGCCGCAUUAGCUAGUUGGUAAGGUAACGGCUUACCAAGGCAACGAUGCGUAGCCGACCUGAGAGGGUGAUCGGCCACACUGGAACUGAGACACGGUCCAGACUCCUACGGGAGGCAGCAGUAGGGAAUCUUCCGCAAUGGGCGAAAGCCUGACGGAGCAACGCCGCGUGAGUGAUGAAGGUCUUCGGAUCGUAAAACUCUGUUAUUAGGGAAGAACAAAUGUGUAAGUAACUAUGCACGUCUUGACGGUACCUAAUCAGAAAGCCACGGCUAACUACGUG